rnacentral:rRNA from 1 species
CCUACGGGUGGCAGCAGUGGGGAAUAUUGGGCAAUGGGCGCAAGCCUGACCCAGCAACGCCGCGUGAAGGAAGAAGGCUCUCGGGUUGUAAACUUCUUUUAUCAGGGACGAAGCCAGUGACUAUCCCUGAUUCCUAAGCCGCGGCUAACUACAGGCACGCAGCCGCGGUAAUACGUAGGUGGCAAGCGUUAUCCGGAUUUACUGGGUGUAAAGGGCGGAUAUGCGGGAAAGCAAGUCAGAUGUGAAACCCAUGGGCUCAACCUGUGGCCUGCAUUUGAAACUGUUUUGUGUGAGUACUGGAGAGGCAGACGGAAUUCAUAGUGUAGAGGUGAAAUGGGUAGAUAUUAGGAGGAACACCAGGGGCGAAGGCGGCUGGAUGGACAGAAACUGACGUUGAGGCGCGAAAGCGUGGGGAGCAAACAGGAUUAGAUACCCUGUAGUC